AGCAGCCGCGGUAAUUCCAGCUCCAAUAGCGUAUAUUAAAGUUGUUGCAGUUAAAAAGCUCGUAGUUGAAUUUCGGGGUUAGUAGGUUGGUCGUGCCACUGGUACGUACUGGUCUCACUGACUCCUCCUUCCUGAUGAACUGUAAUGCCAUUAAUUUGGUGUUGCGGGAAACUGGACUGUUACUUUGAAAAAUUAGAGUGUUUAAAGCAAGCUAACGCUUAGAAUACAUUAGCAUGGAAUAAUGAAAUAGGACGUUCGAUCCUAUUUUGUUGGUUUCUAGGAUUGACGUAAUGAUUAAUAGGGAUA
rnacentral:rRNA from 1 species